GGGGGUUUGGCACAGUGGUAGCGCGCAUGCUUUGCAUUUAUUACAUUGCAUGAGGUCGUGGGUUCAAGCCCCACAGUCUCCA